rnacentral:tRNA from 3 species
GGGCAUCUAGUUCAGUGGUAGAACACUUGCUCGACACGCAAGGGGUGGUAAGUUCGAUUCUUACGAUGCCCACCA